CGGAGGAAAAGAAACCAACAGGGAUUGCCUCAGUAACGGCGAGUGAAGCGGCAAAAGCUCAAAUUUUAAAGCUGGCAUCUUCGGUGUCCGCGUUGUAAUUUUGUGAGGCAUCUCCGGGUAGGGCGCCAGCCUAAGUUCCUUGGAACAGGACGUCACAGAGGGUGAGAAUCCCGUGCUUGGCUGGCUGUCCCCGCCCACGUGAGGCGUCUUCGACGAGUCGAGUUGUUUGGGAAUGCAGCUCAAAAUGGGUGGUAAAUUUCAUCUAAAGCUAAAUAUUGGUGGGAGACCGAUAGCGCACAAGUAGAGUGAUCGAAAGAUGAAAAGCACUUUGAAAAUAGAGUUAAAAAGUACGUGAAAUUGUUGAAAGGGAAGCGCUUGAGACCAGACUUCGGUAGGGGGUGAUCAGCCGUCCUUCUGGGCGGUGCACUUGCCCCCCUCCGGGCCAGCAUCGGUUGAGGCGGCGGGAUAAAGGUCCCGGGAACGUGGCUCCUUCACGGGAGUGUUAUAGCCCGGGUGAAUGCCGCCAGCCUCGACCGAGGACCGCGCCCGCAAGGGUUAGGAUGCUUGGCAUAAUGGUCUUCAGCGACCCGUCU
rnacentral:rRNA from 1 species